GGUGAGUAACACGUGAAUUAUCUACCUCCGAGUGGGGAAUAACCUAGAGAAAUCUGGGCUAAUACCGCAUAACACUUACGAGUCAAAGCAGCAAUGCGCUUGGAGAGGAGUUCGCGGCGAUUAGCUAGUUGGCGGGGUAAUGGCCCACCAAGGCGAUGAUCGGUAUCCGGCCUGAGAGGGCGCACGGACACACUGGAACUGAAACACGGUCCAGACUCCUACGGGAGGCAGCAGUGGGGAAUUUUGCGCAAUGGGGGAAACCCUGACGCAGCAACGCCGCGUGGAGGAUGAAAUAUCUUGGUAUGUAAACUCCUUUCGAUGGGGAAGAUUAUGACGGUACCCAUAGAAGAAGCCCCGGCUAACUUCGUGCCAGCAGCCGCGGUAAUACCCGAAGGGGGGGCCAAGCGUUGUUCGGAUUUAUUGGGCGUAAAGGGUGCGUAGGCGGUUUGGCAAGUCUUAUGUGAAAUCUUCGGGCUCAACCCGAAGUCUGCAUAAGAAACUGCCGGGCUUGAGUAUGGGAAAGGUGAGUGGAAUUUCCGGUGUAGCGGUGAAAUGCGUAGAUAUCGGAAGGAACACCUGUG
rnacentral:rRNA from 1 species